rnacentral:rRNA from 1 species
GCGAGUAAUGUCGGGAACUCCAGGGAGACUGCCGGUGAUAAACCGGAGGAAGGUGGGGACGACGUCAAGUCAUCAUGGCCCUUACGAGUAGGGCUACACACGUGCUACAAUGGCGCAUACAGAGGGCGGCCAACUUGCGAAAGUGAGCGAAUCCCAAAAAGUGCGUCGUAGUCCGGAUUGGAGUCUGCAACUCGACUCCAUGAAGUCGGAAUCGCUAGUAAUCGUGGAUCAGAAUGCCACGGUGAAUACGUUCCCGGGCCUUGUACACACCGCCCGUCACACCAUGGGAGUGGGCUGCAAAAGAAGUAGGUAGUUUAACCUUCGGGGGGACGCUUACCACUUUGUGGUUCAUGACUGGGGUGAAGUCGUAACAAGGUAGCGCUAGGGGAACCUGGCGCUGGAUCACCUCCUUAUACGAUGAU